UGAGCAAUCUGCCCUUCUCAUCGGAAUAAGCGUUGGAAACGACGUCUAAUGCCGAAUACGACCUCCUUUCGCAUGAUCGGAGGUGGAAAGCUCCGGCGGAGAAGGAUGAGCUCGCGGCCUAUCAGCUAGUUGGUGUGGGUAAUGGCCCACAAGGCGACGACGGGUAGCCGGCCUGAGAGGGUGACCGGCCACACUGGGACUGAGACACGGCCCAGACUCCUACGGAAGCAG
rnacentral:rRNA from 1 species